GGGCGUGUGGUCUAGUGGUAUGAUUCUCGCUUUGGGUUAUGGUUUGGUGCACUGAACCUACACAAGUUUGUGAGAGGCCCUGGGUUCAAUUCCCAGCUCGCCCC